UCUUAUGGAUGAGCAAAGAAAGUGGUUUCUUAACAUGGAAUCUACUCCUAGUGUAGAUGAUGUGAA
rnacentral:pre_miRNA from 1 species